rnacentral:rRNA from 1 species
GACGAACGCUGGCGGCGUGCCUAAUACAUGCAAGUAGAACGCUGAAGCGAGGAGCUUACUCUUCUUGGAUGAGUUGCGAACGGGUGAGUAACGCGUAGGUAACCUGCCUUGUAGCGGGGGAUAACUAUUGGAAACGAUAGCUAAUACCGCAUAACAAUGGAUGACACAUGUCAUUUAUUUGAAAGGGGCAAUUGCUCCACUACAAGAUGGACCUGCGUUGUAUUAGCUAGUAGGUGAGGUAAUGGCUCACCUAGGCGACGAUACAUAGCCGACCUGAGAGGGUGACCGGCCACACUGGGACUGAGACACGGCCCAGACUCCUACGGGAGGCAGCAGUAGGGAAUCUUCGGCAAUGGGGGCAACCCUGACCGAGCAACGCCGCGUGAGUGAAGAAGGUUUUCGGAUCGUAAAGCUCUGUUGUAAGUCAAGAACGGGUGUGAGAGUGGAAAGUUCACACUGUGACGGUAGCUUACCAGAAAGGGACGGCUAACUACGUG